rnacentral:rRNA from 1 species
UGGCGAACGGGUGAGUAACACGUGGGUAAUCUGCCCUGCACUCUGGGAUAAGCCUGGGAAACUGGGUCUAAUACUGGAUAUGACCUUUCUCCUUAUGGGGUUUGGUGGAAAGUUUUUCGGUGUAGGAUGAGCCCGCGGCCUAUCAGCUUGUUGGUGGGGUGAUGGCCUACCAAGGCGACGACGGGUAGCCGGCCUGAAAGGGUGAUCGGCCACAUUGGGACUGAGAUACGGCCCAG